rnacentral:rRNA from 1 species
GACGAACGCUGGCGGCAUGCCUAAUACAUGCAAGUCGAGCGAACAGAUGGAGUGCUUGCACUUCUGACGUUAGCGGCGAACGGGUGAGUAACACGUAAGGAAUCUACCUAUAAGCGGGGGAUAACAUUCGGAAACGGGUGCUAAUACCGCAUAAUAUCUUCUUCCGCAUGGAAGAAGAUUGAAAGACGGCUCUGCUGUCACUUAUAGAUGACCUUGCGGUGCAUUAGUUAGUUGGUGGGGUAACGGCCUACCAAGACGAUGAUGCAUAGCCGACCUGAGAGGGUGAUCGGCCACAUUGGGACUGAGACACGGCCCAAACUCCUACGGGAGGCAGCGGCAGGGAAUCUUCCGCAAUGGGCGAAAGCCUGACGGAGCAAUGCCGCGUGAGUGAAGAAGGCCUUCGGGUCGUAAAACUCUGUUAUAAGAGAAGAACAAAUUGUAGAGUAACUGCUACAGUCUUGACGGUAUCUUAUCAGAAAGCCACGGCUAACUACGUGCCAGCCGCCGCCGUAA